UAGAAUCUGUUCAGAACUUUCAAAUCAAGUCUCAGGCUUUGAAAAUUUUGUAGAUAAUAAUUCCAUCAUCAUCAUCAUCAUCUAGCUUAUCCAUUCUGCAUCAAGUCCCGGAGGGUCAUGUUGGAGUAUAUUGGAGAGGAGGUGCCCUCCUAAAGACAAUCACAGAUCCUGGGUUCCAUCUAAAGAUGCCUUUGCUCACUCAGUUUGAACCUGUUCAAGUAACUCUCCAGACAGAUCAGGUGAGAGAUAUUCCAUGUGGCACUAAAGGAGGUGUUAUGAUAAAUUUUGAGAAAAUAGAGGUUGUUAACCGUCUCCGUAAGGAAUAUGUGCAUGACACACUGCUCAACUAUGGCGUGCAUUAUGACAAUACAUGGAUAUACGACAAGAUCCAUCAUGAGAUAAAUCAGUUUUGCAGCUUUCAUACCCUUCAGCAGGU